rnacentral:rRNA from 1 species
CGUUAAUUGCGNUAACGAACGAAGACUUGCUUUAAAUUAAGCUAGGCCUAAGCUUUGGCUGGUCGCUGGCUUCUUAGAAGGACUAUUUGCUCAAGCAAAUGGAAGUGCGAAGCAAUAACAGGUCUGUGAUGCCCUUAGAUGUUCUGGGCCGCACGCGCGCUACACUGACAGAGCCAACGAGUUCUUCCUUAGCCGAAAGGUUUGGGUAAUCUUGUUAAACUCUGUCGUGCUGGGGAUAGGGCAUUGCAAUC